GACAUAGGUGGCGAACGUUAUCCGGAUUUAUUGGGCGUAAAGGAUGCGUAGAUGGUGGAAUAAGUUAUUGGUCGAGGUCAAGCUCAACUUGGCGGAAGCUGGUAAUACUGUUCUACUCGAGGACAGGAGAGGUUGACGGAAUUCUGUGUGGAGCGGUGAAAUGCGUUGAUCUACAGAGGAACACCAAAAGGGCGAAGGCGGCUCACUGGCCCGGUACUGACGCUGAGGUGCGAAAGCGUGGGGAGCAAACAGG
rnacentral:rRNA from 1 species